rnacentral:rRNA from 1 species
GAUGAACGCUGGCGGCGUGCCUAAUACAUGCAAGUCGAGCGAACGGACGAGAAGCUUGCUUCUCUGAUGUUAGCGGCGGACGGGUGAGUAACACGUGGAUAACCUACCUAUAAGACUGGGAUAACUUCGGGAAACCGGAGCUAAUACCGGAUAAUAUUUUGAACCGCAUGGUUCAAAAGUGAAAGACGGUCUUGCUGUCACUUAUAGAUGGAUCCGCGCUGCAUUAGCUAGUUGGUAAGGUAACGGCUUACCAAGGCAACGAUGCAUAGCCGACCUGAGAGGGGGAUCGGCCACCCGUGACCUGGGACCCGGUCCAGCCCCCUACGGGAGGCCGCGGUGGGGAAUCUUCCGCAAUGGGCGAAAGCCUGACGGAGCAACGCCGCGGGAGUGAUGAAGGUUUUCGGGUCGUAAACCUUUUUUAUUAGGGAAGAAAAUAUGUGUAAGUAACUGUGCCCAUCUUGACGGGACCUAAUCAAAAAGCCCCGCCUAACUACGU